rnacentral:rRNA from 1 species
UACGUAGGGUGCGAGCGUUGUCCGGAAUUACUGGGCGUAAAGAGCUCGUCGGUGGUUUGUCGCGUUGUUCGUGAAAUCUCACGGCUUAACUGUGAGCGUGCGGGCGAUACGGGCAGACUGGAGUACUGCAGGGGAGACUGGAAUUCCUGGUGUAGCGGUGGAAUGCGCAGAUAUCAGGAGGAACACCGGUGGCGAAGGCGGAUCUCUGGGCCGAUACUGACGCUGAGGAGCGAAAGCGUGGGGAGCGAACAGG